UACGUAGGGGGCAAGCGUUGUCCGGAUUUAUUGGGCGUAAAGGGCGCGUAGGCGGGCUGCCAAGUCUGGGGUGAAAUCCCACGGCUCAACCGUGGAACUGCCUCGGAUACUGGCGGUCUCGAGGGAGGUAGGGGCAUGCGGAACUGUGGGUGGAGCGGUGAAAUGCGUUGAUAUCCACAGGAACUCCGGUGGCGAAAGCGGCGUGCUGGACCUCUUCUGACGCUGAGGCGCGAAAGCUAGGGGAGCAAACGGG
rnacentral:rRNA from 1 species